UGGGGAAUUUUGGACAAUGGGGGAAACCCUGAUCCACCCAUCCCGCGUGUGCGAUGAAGGCCUUCGGGUUGUAAAGCACUUUUGGCAGGAAAGAAACGUCAUGGGUUAAUACCCCGUGAAACUGACGGUACCUGCAGAAUAAGCACCGGCUAACUACGUGCCAGCAGCCGCGGUAAUACGUAGGGUGCAAGCGUUAAUCGGAAUUACUGGGCGUAAAGCGUGCGCAGGCGGUUCGGAAAGAAAGAUGUGAAAUCCCAGAGCUCAACUUUGGAACUGCAUUUUUAACUACCGGGCUAGAGUGUGUCAGAGGGAGGUGGAAUUCCGCGUGUAGCAGUGAAAUGCGUAGAUAUGCGGAGGAACACCGAUGGCGAAGGCAGCCUCCUGGGAUAACACUGACGCUCAUGCACGAAAGCGUGGGGAGCAAACAGG
rnacentral:rRNA from 1 species